UUUUCUCUUUUUUUAACUACACCGUUACCUCCUUUUCCUCUGAGAUUUUUGCUCAUCGACUGAGAGAGGAGCAGAGCGUUGCUAGGGUUUAAAAGGCCAUGGCAGGAUCAGGGAGUUCGAUGCUAUAUUCAUUUCUUUUAUUUACUGUCAUUCUCUCACUCCAAAUGAUGUAUCGAGAUAAGUUAGCUUCGUCGGAACUUUUCACAAUACUUGGUGGAUUCAGUAGCUCCCUCUUGUUUCUUGUGUUACUAACAUUCAUUGGGAAUUUC